rnacentral:rRNA from 1 species
AACGAACGCUGGCGGCGUGCUUAACACAUGCAAGUCGCACGAGAAAGCUCUUCGGAGCGAGUAGAGUGGCGCACGGGUGAGUAAUGUUUAGGAACGUACCUUAGAGUGGGGAUAACCACGGGAAACUGUGGCUAAUACCGCAUACGGUCUUCGGACUAAAGUUGGCCUCUCAAUUUAAACUUUCACUGAAUACUUUUUUAAGUGUUGAGUGAAGGUUUAAAGGAAGCUAGCGCUUUAAGAUCGGCCUAUAUCCCAUUAGCUUGUUGGUAAGGUAACGGCUUACCAAGGCUACGAUGGGUAGCUGGUCUGAGAGGAUGAUCAGCCACACUGGAACUGAGACACGGUCCAG